UAUAUAGUUCAUCAGGAAAAAGAACGAAAACGGGAAACUUACAACAAGGAAUUAAAAUGUUUGCGCUCCGACUAACGAAACUGAUGUUACUGAAGCGCAGAAUGGCCAAAGGAAGCUGUCUCAAGAAUCAUCAUAAAUAUGGCGCAGAUAGACAAGAUGGAAUUAAUGAGAAUAAGACUCGUCGACAAAAAUCGAAGGAAUGACGAUCACAUAAAAAAUCUAUUAUUGCUACAAAUAUGCGAACAAUCACCGAUGUGCAUACCAAAAACCAAUUUCUGAUCUGCGUAACAGAGAACACAGUGAACCACGUCGAUUGAAGCAGAAUGACUUAAUCGGCCAAGUGUUAAGUAUUUUACUUUUCCCAACCUGUCGAUCAAUAGGCAACGCGUGCAACAAAUUGCAGGAAUUGUGCGUUUAGUUAAGAAAGUGCCGAAUGAACACAAUGAGCUAAAUGCAGUGUCCAAUAGUCAGCAAAUGCUGCUCUGUAAACCAGUUUGCCAGGAAUCAGCAGAACAUAUUCAUUUUGAGCAAGAUCAUCAACAAAGAUCUCCCAAUGAUGUGUGUGAAGAAAUCCGUGAAUGUAUUGUCGAAAAGCUCGAUUAGUUAGAUCUACAGUAUUUUCAGGCAUACUCAUACAUAAUAGGUGUUUCGAAUGAGAAAUAAAUCCUGAGUAAAUGUCAUUAAUGUCAUUAAGACCUCAGAAGCUUUUAUGUUAUAUAUAAUCAAGGCAUUUUAAGAUAUAGCUUGGGACAAAAUAUGGCGGAUUUCUUUUGUUUUCUCCAGAGACUAAUCCCAUGAUGCAUUUCAAAUCAAAUUCUUGGGUUGCAGUUACUUUAUCACAAUUGUUAUUUUACUCGCAUUAAUACAUGACAUUCAUGUCCUUCUAGAGCAUAAAAUACUGCAUAGUUUGACAAAGAUUUUAGGAUUGUAGAGCGCUUGGUUAUACGCAAAAAUAUGGUAAAAAAUGUAUGGCGGAAAUCCAGACAGUGUUCAACCUGACCACCGUCUGGAUUCAACCUUUUACAAAACAACCGAAAUAUUGUCUUUUUUGGAUACAUUUCGUUAUAACAUUUUUGCUGACUCAUUACAAUGUGUAUAUAUGAGGCAAAAUAUUCUAUGCACAUCGAAUUGUAAUUGUUUUUUUAAAGCUCCGUGACAGCUUUGCGUGACACAAUUCAGUCUUUAAUAUAUCGAGAACCAAAAAGUUCUAUACACUCAUUUUUGUUGUUAUAUCUUUUUUAUACCGAUAGUUAUAACAUAUAUAGUGUAAAUCAUCAUAGGAUGCAUAUUAGAGAAUAUAUAUUUUUGUGACGUAAAAGCUUCAGAAGUCUAACGUCAACUUCUGAUUCAUUAAUACUGUUACUUGUUACUAC